ensembl:processed_transcript
UUCCUGUAAGGGCAAUCGGACCCUUUCCGGUGAGGGAACCUCUCUCCAGACAUGAUCAAGAGAAACUGGCGAGGGACUGACAUGAUCUAGCUUACCUUGGGUCACCGAACGGAUUUGGCAUGUGACAUAAUUAUCCCAGCGAUCACUAAAACUGUAAAUUUGGAUGCAAUUAAGAGAGAAAACUCCACACAUUUAUGGAAAUUUAAGAUUUGCAGCUUGCUGGCUUGCUGAGUGGAAAAUGAUUCUUUCCCAGUUCUCCUUGGUUUCUUCCUUUCAUGAAUUGAUUAACACUGAGAGAUUAUGUUUUAAUUAUGUCGACUAGAGGUUUUAAAUGAUUCUAGGUUUCUGUGUCCAUUUGUUUUCCUAGGUUUGGGGAAUUUGCUACUGCAAUAUCGUUGUAUAGAUAUUCUUUGCUUUAGUGAGAAACUCAGCUCCUUCUACUCUGUGGUUCUUAGCUUUAGUCUAUUGUACACAUCACAGAGUUAAUGAAAGCUGUGGUCAUACUUGAUUUUUUCUUCAUUACUAUUGAAAUAAAGCAUAUCCUUG